UACGUAGGGUGCGAGCGUUGUCCGGAAUUACUGGGCGUAAAGCGCUCGCAGGUGGUUCGUUGCGUCGUGCGUGAAAGACCCCGGCUCAACUGGGGAGUGUCGUGCGAUACGGGCGAACUGGAGGCCAGUAGGGGGAUGCGGAAUUCCGGGUGUAGUGGUGGAAUGCGUAGAGAUCCGGAGGAACACCAGCGGCGAAGGCGGCAUCCUGGACUGGUCCUGACACUCAGGAGCGAAAGCGUGGGGAGCGAUCCGG
rnacentral:rRNA from 1 species